rnacentral:rRNA from 1 species
AGUAAUGCCUUAUAAGAUACGUUUGUCGCAUGGCAUUUGUAUUAAACGCUCCGGCGCCAUAGGAUGGACCCGCGUCCCAUUAGCUAGUUGGUGAGAUAACAGCUCACCAAGGCCACGAUGGGUGACCGGUCUGAGAGGGCGAACGGUCACACUGGAACUGAGACACGGUCCAGACUCCUACGGGAGGCAGCAGUGGGGAAUAUUGCGCAAUGGGGGCAACCCUGACGCAGCAAUACCGCGUGAGUGAAGAAGGUUUUCGGAUCGUAAAGCUCUGUUAUUGGGGAAGAAAAAAAGACGGUACCCAAGAAGAAAGUUCCGGCUAACUACGUGCCAGCAGCCGCGGUAAUACGUAGGGAACAAGCGUUGUCCGGAUUUACUGGGCGUAAAGGGCACGCAGGCGGUUUUUUAAGUCAGAUGUGAAAGGCCACAGCUCAACUGUGGACAUGCAUUUGAAACUGAAAGACUUGAGUAUUGGAGAGGCAAGUGGAAUUCCUAGUGUAGCGGUGAAAUGCGUAGAUAUUAGGAGGAACACCGGUGGCGAAGGCGGCUU